rnacentral:rRNA from 1 species
AGUCAUAUGCUUGUCUCAAAGAUUAAGCCAUGCAUGUCUCAGUACAAGCCAAAUUAAGGUGAAACCGCGAAAGGCUCAUUAAAUCAGUUAUGGUUCCUUAGAUCGUACACACAUUUACUUGGAUAACUGUGGUAAUUCUAGAGCUAAUACAUGCCAACAGAACUCCGACCGGAGACGGAAGGAGUGCCUUUAUUAGAUCAAAACCAAUCGGUGGUGCGGCCUCGGUCGUGUCAUCGUACAACAUGGUGAAUCUGAAUAACGUUUGCUGAUCGCACGGUCUCGCACCGGCGACGCAUCUUUCAAAUGUCUGCCUUAUCAACUGUCGAUGGUAGGUUCUGCGCCUACCAUGGUUGUAACGGGUAACGGGGAAUCAGGGUUCGAUUCCGGAGAGGGAGCCUGAGAAACGGCUACCACAUCCAAGGAAGGCAGCAGGCGCGCAAAUUACCCACUCCCGGCACGGGGAGGUAGUGACGAAAAAUAACGAUACGGGACUCAUCCGAGGCCCCGUAAUCGGAAUGAGCACACUUUAAAUCCUUUCACGAGGAUCAAUCGGAGGGCAAGUCAGGUGCCAGCAGCCGCGGUAAUUCCUGCUCCGAUAGCGUAU